rnacentral:rRNA from 1 species
UACGAAGGGGGCUAGCGUUGCUCGGAAUCACUGGGCGUAAAGGGUGCGUAGGCGGGUCUUUAAGUCAGGGGUGAAAUCCUGGAGCUCAACUCCAGAACUGCCUUUGAUACUGAGGAUCUUGAGUAUGGGAGAGGUGAGUGGAACUGCGAGUGUAGAGGUGAAAUUCGUAGAUAUUCGCAAGAACGCCAGUGGCGAAGGCGGCUCACUGGCCCAUUACUGACGCUGAGGCACGAAAGCGUGGGGAGCAAACAGG